AUUUAUUGGAGAGUUUGAUCCUGGCUCAGGACGAACGCUGGCGGCGUGCUUAACACAUGCAAGUCGAACGGAGUAUUUUAUUUCGGUAAAAUACUUAGUGGCGAACGGGUGAGUAACGCGUAGACAACCUACCUUUUAGAUGGGGACAACAUCGCGAAAGCGGUGCUAAUACCGAAUGUUGUGUCUUUUCCACAUGGGAAAGCUACUAAAGAUGGCCUCUAUUUAUAAGCUGUCACUAAAAGAUGGGUCUGCGUCUGAUUAGCUAGUUGGCGGGGUAAAUGCCCACCAAGGCAACGAUCA
rnacentral:rRNA from 1 species